UAUGCAUCUUAAUCAUGCGUAAUACGUGGUCAUAUUUUUCCUUAGAACAUUAUAUCUAUCUAUAUUCUAAGUAUUUUUCAAUUAUCUCAUUUCAUUUCUGAAAAUAAAAAAAGAUGAUUUUAUCUCUCUCGAAUAGAUAAUUUCUUUGGUCAGCGGUCAGCAAUAAUAAUUUUAUUAUGUCUAUAUUGUCUAUGUCUAUCUAUUGCCAGUAGUUCUCAAUUCUAUGAUUGUGUUAUGGUGUUAUUGAAAAGAAUAAAGAAUAAGUAGUAAAUGAAAAUAGAUGUCAAUAUUUUGCUUGAAUUAGAUAUUAGAUAUAUUCUGUGAAAUAAUACGAAAAUGUUCUAAUAUUUCUCAAAAGUGCGGUUAAAAGAAGAAUAUGGAUCGCGCACCAAUUCCUGGUCAAACUGGUUAUCUUAUUCUUAAUGAGGAUGGUGCUGUGCUAUCUUCAUCAGGAGAGUUAGAGAAUGACGAAAGAACUGCUUCAAUUAUCAUGGAUUUAUUAACGCUCACUCCUCAAAUAGAUCCUCUUGGUUUUCCAUCAGAGGAAGGUUUCAAAAAACUCUCACUCACCUACAAAAGUCAUUGCUAUAUAGUUUGUCUAUCUAAUAGAAAAAUCCACAUUAUUAAGAAGAAUUUACAGAUAUUGGAUGAAUCAGUUGCUGUUAACGUUUAAAGAAAAGUAAAAUUUCUGUACGAUAUUUUUUCUGUUAACCCAAAUACUGUAAAUAUUUAUUUUAUUGUAUUAUAAAUAUAUUAUGUUAUAACCAUA